rnacentral:rRNA from 1 species
CCUACGGGGGGCAGCAGUGGGGAAUAUUGGACAAUGGGGGGAACCCUGAUCCAGCCAUGCCGCGUGUGUGAAGAAGGCCCUCGGGUUGUAAAGCACUUUCAGUGAGGAAGAACGCCUGGUGGUGAAUACCCAUCAGGAAAGACAUCACUCACAGAAGAAGCACCGGCUAACUCCGUGCCAGCAGCCGCGGUAAUACGGAGGGUGCGAGCGUUAAUCGGAAUUACUGGGCGUAAAGCGCGCGUAGGUGGCUUGAUAAGCCGGUUGUGAAAGCCCCGGGCUCAACCUGGGAACGGCAUCCGGAACUGUCAAGCUAGAGUGCAGGAGAGGAAGGUAGAAUUCCCGGUGUAGCGGUGAAAUGCGUAGAGAUCGGGAGGAAUACCAGUGGCGAAGGCGGCCUUCUGGACUGACACUGACACUGAGGUGCGAAAGCGUGGGUAGCAAACAGGAUUAGAUACCCUAGUAGUA